rnacentral:rRNA from 1 species
UACAGAGGGUGCGAGCGUUGUUCGGAAUUAUUGGGCGUAAAGGGCGCGUAGGCGGUGCGGUAAGUCACCUGUGAAAUCUCCUGGCUCAACUGGGAGCUUGCAGGCGAAACUGCCGUGCUGGAGUGUGGGAGAGGUGAGUGGAAUUCCCGGUGUAGCGGUGAAAUGCGUAGAUAUCGUAAGGAAGACCAGUGGCGAAGGCGGGU